UACAGAGGUCUCAAGCGUUGUUCGGAUUCAUUGGGCGUAAAGGGUGCGUAGGCGGCGCGGUAAGUCGGGUGUGAAAUCUCGGAGCUUAACUCCGAAACUGCAUUCGAUACUGCCGUGCUUGAGGACUGGAGAGGAGACUGGAAUUUACGGUGUAGCGGUGAAAUGCGUAGAUAUCGUAAGGAAGACCAGUGGCGAAGGCGGGUCUCUGGACAGUUCCUGACGCUGAGGCAACGAAGGCCCAGGGGGAGCAAACGGG
rnacentral:rRNA from 1 species